rnacentral:rRNA from 1 species
GACGAACGCUGGCGGCGCGCUUAACACAUGCAAGUCGAGCGAGAACCUGGGCUUCGGCCCUGGGGACAGCGGCGAACGGGUGAGUAACAUAUGGGUAAUCUUCCCUUGACAUCGGGACAGCCGGGGGAAACCCGGAUAAAUACCGAAUAGCCACCGGGGCCUUCGGGCGCCGGAGAAAACGUAGCUUCGGCACGUGGUCGGGGAUGAUCCCAGGGGGGCUUUGGCUUGUGGGGGGGGUAACGGCCCAGCAAGGCGACGCUCGGUAGGUGGGUAGAGAGGACGAUCAGCCACACUGGGACUGAGACACGGCCCAGACGCCUACGGGAGGCAGCAGUGGGGAAUCUUGCGCCAAUGCGGGAAACCGUGACGCAGCGACGCCGCGUGGGGGAAGAAGGCCUUCGGGUUGUAAACCUCUUUCAGGAGGGACGAAGCCACUCGGGUGAAUAGCCCAGAGGGUGACGGUACCUCCAGAAGAAGCCCCGGCUAACUACGUGCCAGCCGCCGCAGUAA